rnacentral:rRNA from 1 species
AGAGUUUGAUUAUGGCUCAGGACGAACGCUGGCGGCGUGCCUAACACAUGCAAGUCGAACGGGGUACCUUGUUCGGAGGUUUCGGCCAAAGAAUGGGACUACCUAGUGGCGGACGGGUGAGUAACGCGUGAGUAACCUGCCUUACAGAGGGGGAUAACAUACCGAAAGGUAUGCUAAUACCGCAUGAGAUACUAUGAUGGCAUCAUCAUGAUAUCAAAGAUUUAUCGCUGAAAGAUGGACUCGCGUCCGAUUAGAUAGUUGGUGAGGUAACGGCCCACCAAGUCGACGAUCGGUAGCCGGACUGAGAGGUUGAACGGCCACAUUGGGACUGAGACACGGCCCAG